rnacentral:rRNA from 1 species
CGUAGCGAAAGCUACGCUAAUACCGCAUACGAUCUACGGAUGAAAGCGGGGGACUCGCAAGAGCCUCGCGCGAUUGGAGCGGCCGAUAUCAGAUUAGGUAGUUGGUGGGGUAAAGGCUCACCAAGCCAACGAUCUGUAGCUGGUCUGAGAGGACGACCAGCCACACUGGAACUGAGACACGGUCCAGACUCCUACGGGAGGCAGCAGUGGGGAAUUUUGGACAAUGGACGCAAGUCUGAUCCAGCCAUUCCGCGUGCAGGAUGAAGGCCCUCGGGUUGUAAACUGCUUUUGUACAGAACGAAAAGGUCUCCAUUAAUACUGGGGGCUCAUGACGGUACCGUAAGAAUAAGCACCGGCUAACUACGUGCCGGCAGCCGCGGUAAUACGUAGGGUGCAAGCGUUAAUCGGAAUUACUGGGCGUAAAGCGUGCGCAGGCGGUUAUGUAAGACAGAUGUGAAAUCCCCGGGCUCAACCUGGGAACUGCAUUUGUGACUGUAUAGCUAGAGUACGGUAGAGGGGGAUGGAAUUCCGCGUGUAGCAGUGAAAUGCGUAGAUAUGCGGAGGAACACCGAUGGCGAAGGCAAUCCCCUGGGCCUGCACUGACGCUCAUGCACGAAGGCGUGGGGAGCAAACAGGAUUAGAUACCCUGGUAGUCCACGCCCUAAACGAUGUCAACUGGUUGUUGGGUC